UGGGAUCUCUAACCCUUUUUCUUUUAUGAAAGUGUAAUGACAAGGUAGAAUAUGCUACAGCACACCUCAGUGGCUAACCCCACAGAGGUUGCUGAAAAUAGACUCGGGGUGGGGGCAGGCAGGGAGAUUGCCUUUCUCAUCAGAGCUUCCUAUAUGUGAAAAUGUAGAGCAAUGGAACGAAGUUAAUUAGAACAAAUCUGGCCAUGUAUCCAAAGUGGUAGGAUCUGUUGAGGACUGUGGCCAGGGUAUGUGGCUAGAAUCUGUUGGAAAGGAAGGUUUCUUUUUCUCUUGGAAUACUACCCACACAACUUUAUUUAUAUGGCACCAUUAAUCUGCAUGGUGCUUUAAACAGUGCAAGAGAACAUGUCCCUGUCCUGAGGAGCUCACAAUCAAAAGUUCAACACAGAAGCAGAAGAAAGAGAGGGAACUGGAGGAAGGGCUUACAAAUCAAUGAAAAGCAACUGUGCAGAAUCUCAACACAAGUGGCAGUCUAAAGCCUGCUCCAGUUGUCUGUUCUGUCAGAUGUUAAUCCAUGUAUCACGACGAAUGAAAACCAACUGAAGAAGACCAGACUCUAAAAGAGGAAGCAGUUGGGGCAAUGAGGAACCAAGAAGCCUCUUGCUAGAGGUCUACAGGAAGACUAGCUGGUGCUCCUGUAAAGAAAACAUCUGUAAAUAUGUCGCCUAUCUUUGGACACAAUUGCUGUGAAGUCCAUAACAGAAUCCCGACUCUGUCAUAAGAUUGUAACUUUGGAUUGAUUUCAGGCUGUGCGAAUCUAGAGGUCAGACAUCAUUUUCCUAUGAGUAAAGGAGUAAUGAUUAAGGCCAAAAGGGGUUGAGGACUUAGCAGAGGUGUUCCAGUGGGUUUAUCUUUAAUUCCAUGUCUAGUACCAUACAAUAUAUACAUAUACAAUAUGCUCUGCUUAGAGAUUUUAA